CGCUGGCGGCGUGCCUAACACAUGCAAGUCGAGCGAGGAGAUCCCUUCGGGAUGAUCCUAGCGGCGGACGGGUGAGUAACACGUGGGCAACCUGCCUCAUAGAGAGGAAUAGCCUUCCGAAAGGGAGAUUAAUACCUCAUAACAUUGCAGUUUCGCAUGGAACAGCAAUUAAAGGAGUAAUCCGCUAUGAGAUGGGCCCGCGGCGCAUUAGCUAGUUGGUGAGGUAACGGCUCACCAAGGCGACGAUGCGUAGCCGACCUGAGAGGGUGAACGGCCACACUGGGACUGAGACACGGCCCAGACUCCUACGGGAGGCAGCAGUGGGGAAUCUUCCGCAAUGGACGAAAGUCUGACGGAGCAACGCCGCGUGAAGUGAAGAAGGUUUUCGGAUCGUAAAGCUCUUCCGUUAGGGACGAACGUGCUCUUUGUGAAUAAUGAGGAGUAAUGACGGUACCUAAAUAAGAAGCCACGGCUAACUACGUGCCAGCAGCGGC
rnacentral:rRNA from 1 species